AAAAAGGGCCUCUAUGUGAGUGGUGCACCCAGAGCAGCCUGAUUGCUCUAUGUGCGGAAUCCACAUCAAGAAAUUUUGGAAGCAUAAUUUUUUUGGUACUUGGGCAGCUGGUGAUGGUUGGUCCUGGAGCCCCC